UACGAAGGGGGCUAGCGUUGCUCGGAAUCACUGGGCGUAAAGCGCACGUAGGCGGCGCAGCAAGUUGGGGGUGAAAUCCCGAGGCUCAACCUCGGAAUUGCCUUCAAAACUGCUGUGCUCGAGUUCGGAAGAGGUGAGUGGAAUUCCCAGUGUAGAGGUGAAAUUCGUAGAGAUUGGGAAGAACACCAGUGGCGAAGGCGGCUCACUGGUCCGCAACUGACGCUGAGGUGCGAAAGCGUGGGGAGCAAACAGG
rnacentral:rRNA from 1 species